CUCUCGCUCAGUCGUUCUUGUUUUUUGCUUUUCUUAACUCAUUCAACCGUACUUGUUUGCUCUUCCUCUCUCACUCAGUCGUUCUUGUUUGCUUUUCUUAUCUCAUUCAACCGUACCUGUUUGCUCUUCCUCUCUCACUCAGUCGUUCUUGUUUGCUUUUCUUAUCUCAUUCAACCGUACCUGUUUGCUCUUCCUCUCUUACUCAACCCUACUUGUUAUCUCUUCCACUCAACCGUAUUCGUUAUCUCUUUCGUUCUCACUCAACCAUACUUAUCACUUCCUCUCGCACUCAGCCGUACUUGUUAUCUCUUUCACUCACUCAACCAUACUUGUUAUCUCUUCCUCUCCCGCUCAACCGUAUUCGUUAUAUCUUCCACACUCACUCAACCGUACUUAUUAUCUCUUCCUCUCUCACUCAACCGUACUUGUUGAUUCUUUCUCUCUAUAGGAAAUUUGGAAUUCGUACUUGUUCUCUCUUUCUCUCUAUGAAAACAGAAAGUGUCAACGAACGGCUUCAAGAUAUGUCGAUUUCUCGCCUCAAUCAAACCUCAUUACGCCGAUUCGGUUACAGUGUGCCUCGAUCGGCAUAGCAGCCGUCUGGCUUCUAUCUCUUACCGUACUCGUGUUUCGAACUUUUCCAAAAACUACAGCUUUAUUUUGGCUUCUCGUUGUAUACCCUUUUACUGAAUCUUUUUUAAUAAAGAAACCAAUUAUUCGCAAGCUGCAUUUAGCUUCAAUUCUAAUCAGUUUUCGACACCCGCUUGGUACGGUACUGGCAUUCCGUGACAAUGUUUUUUAUCGAUAUUUUGUUCCUGGAAUUUUUGUGUUAAAGAAAUAUCUUCCUUGUAAACGUUCAACCUCAUUUAACCACUCUAAACUUGCAGGAUGGUGCACAUUCACGCUUAUCGAUAGUGCCACAGAUCUCAACGGUAUCGUAUGCACAAACCAACGUUAUUCGUUUUUUUCAGAAACGAGAAAACGGUGUACCACGUAAAGAAAUUCGCUCUUUUCUAAUUCAUCACUUACGAAAACUGGGUGAAGAUAUUUCUACUGCAACAAAAUUAAGCCCGGUCGUUGAUCAAGAGCUCCCUUGCGAUGCGGAAAACCUUAAUCCGUAUUAUAUUAGAAUUAAAACUAUCUAGAAACGAUAAAUUAAUUGAUCUGCCAUUAUAUUGGAAAAACAAUUGCGGUAGACUGAGUUGAUAAGCAAACAUGACUAUCUUCUAUCCCAUGUGCUUUCUGCUUGAAAAACGUUUUUUUAACGCAAAUUGAUUAGAGUGUCUUGUGAAAAGCCGCUUCAACGACAGAAAGGACAUCCUUGGAAGAAAAUAAGCCCUCCAUGGUCGGCUAUUUGAACGUAUUCUUCAAGGUCAACUGCCAGGCGAAGCAAGUUUUGGAUCGUGGUCAACAAGCUCCAUGGUGGCCGAGAAGCGGGAGCGUGAACGCUGCUGUCAUCUUUUAAACAUCGCACAGCAGCACCGCCCACGUCUCGUGUUUAAUUUUAUGAACUAAGUGGAAAGACAUUAUUUUGACUCGGAAAAUAAACAAAUUAUAAACAUAAUUUUGGUCUGCGCAAUCCAAUCCGUAAAUCCAAUGAGCUUCUAGUCUUUGAUGUGUACUUAUAUAUGCUAAGCUAUGCGAUGUUCUUCACGUUUGAUUGGUUAUUACUUAUUCAUUUUUAGAGGCAAUAUCAUUGUUUCUUGUAAGCGUGAGUAAUCGAUGAACCAACGAUGUAUGAAUUUGAGAUUCGGUACGAAGGUAAAUUGUGGAAAUCUCUGCACGACUAUAAUGGCAAUGUUUUCGAAUAUGUAAAUCGCGCUUGAAUCGUUGUUUGUGUGGUCGAAAUACUGCUAGUUACCUGA